GGAGGGCUUACGGUGUGGCGUGGUCACAUGACGCAUCGAGUUACCGCCUCGGGGACAACCGCUUUCGGAUUGGACAGGUUUACCCUUCGCGGAGAUUACAUUACUCUGGCUGUGGCCGUCGUGCAAGAGAAACGAAAACAUCUGCUUUAUCAUGUGGGAUCACUGUCACUAGCAGUCACUUUGACGCUGAGAUGGGCAUAUUCCCCAGCAUUCUGAGUGCGGACAGGCAUGCUACCACCUUGAAAAAGGCCACCUGGUCAGUUGAGAACAAUGGCCCAAGUUCACAUUACGUACCACGUAAAAUAGCUGCUGCUGUUGCUGCUGAGCUGUGACAGACCAUGGAACAAUGAAUCUGAAUUUAAGAAGGAUGAGGAUUGAAACCACAACCUUGGUGUAUCCACUCUAACCAACUGAGCCACCAACCAGGGUCUGAAAGCAGCUUUUUAGAAAGUGAUUAGCCAGGUCCUGGAAAUCACUUUCUGGGACCAAACUAAUGAAAAUACCACUGAGCCAGAACUCCUGCACUGAAGUCUAUCAACAUUCCAUCCUACACAAACAUUUGCAACCAAGUCCUGUGAUGAAAUAUUACACAGCUAUGGAAGUGGAUGGACCAUAGUCACUCUCAGAGGGAAUGAAUGUCUCAGCAUGAUGAUGGGAGUGGAAUUAGCAGGACACAAGCAACUAUCAGAGCACGUGGUCCUGGUUAUAGAGAACAGGCAGGAUAAAGGAUGCUAUUUGUGGGCGUGAGCCUGGGAAGUGGCAACCUCCUUGGAGGAAGGGCGGGGGCUGGGAGGGCAGGGGUUUUUGUUUAUUUGUGUGCUCACUUUAUUCAUUCAACCAUUAAUUUAUCUUUUUUGUGUACCUUCUCUGUGAUAUUACACUUCACAAUUAAAAUGUAAAGAAAGAGAAAGGCACUAGUGGUCAUUGGACUUUCUGGGGGAGUAGGCUAUUAAAACCUAUAUUCAGAUAGUAACCAGAG